AACGCACAUUGCGCUCUCCGGUAGCCCGGGGAGCAUGCCUGUUCGAGCGUCAUUUUAGACCAUCAAGCACUGCUUGGUUUUGAAUAUAUGCCUUUGCAAUACAAGGCAAAUUCUGAAUCGGUCGGCGACCGAGUUGUCCCUUAAGUGUAUUGGAAUAUCUUAAAACGCUUGAAAGGGUUUCUCGUGUCAUGCCCCUAAUGACACCACCUAUCUCAAGGUUGACCUCGGAUCAGGUAAGGGUACCCGCUGAACUUAA
rnacentral:misc_RNA from 1 species